ACUAUUUUGGCAGAUAAUAUGCACUAAAUUUAGGAUUUAGUUAUAUAGGGGAUCUAUAAAUAGUA
rnacentral:tRNA from 1 species